CGACAUCAUGACGGUUGAUCGCAAUCAGUCACACUAACAAAAAUAUGGUGAUCCUUGCAUUAUCUUUAAGUCCAUAAGUUGUCUGUAUCCAUAACAAAUGCAUUAUUCCACAAAAUGGAAGUUCUAUACAAUAUGAAAGCAUAAUAAAAAGCCUGAACUCUUUACUAACGCUUUUUUUUCCCCUUUUGACAAGUAGGCCCAAUGGGAUGCCCCCCAUGUACAACCAAUCAAAAGAGUAAAAAAAAAAACAUGGCUUACCAAGGCAUGUAUACAACAAAUCAAUAAUAGCAGUAACCAGCCGACCAUAAACCUCAUUUUUCCAGAAAAAGAGAAUACACAAAUAAACAUUUAACAUGCGCAGGUGUUCGUUCCCUCUCUUCAAAAUAUCUCACAUUUCAUUUUCUCCAUAAAAACCCACCAAAGACAAUGAGGAAUCAUGUCCCACCUAGUUCUGUUAUGUUUUUGAAGUCUGACACUUCUCCUAGCACACAAAAAUUGGACCAAUGACCCAUGAUAUUCCCACAAGAGAAUAUUGCCGUCCAUAACCAACUAGUAAAAGCAUAAUGAAGCAAUAAGGGUCACUUACUUCCUUUCACGCUAACACAUGUAGCAAUGAUUCACCAAAAACUUGCCUCUCCUCCAUAACAAUUCUUGAGUAAAAAAAUUCCCAAGCAUUGCUGUCCAUGUAUAAGAACCACAUUUCAAGGAUUACCCACUUUCCACAUACGUAAACACAACUGUAGCCCUACCAAACAAAUGCUGAUAGUAGGAUCUAACUUAAAAGCGGCUAAAAAGACAAAGUCCCAAACUCAAAGAAUUUGCAUGAGCACUAAGAUGCCCAAACUCUCCCAAUUCUAUAACAGCUGCACCACCUCUAAUUCCCAAUCAUGGAAAAUCCUCCUAAAAAUUAGUUGCCGGGGCAUUUGACCAUCCUCCACCAAACCAUAACAAUUAUCUUUUGCAUCCUAAUCCACUACUAAAAUAUGCAAGCGCAUUAUCUAAGCUCUAUCCCCACACAAACAUCACCCCCAAACCUAAUCAACUCCCAUCUCUCACCACAAAUGAAGCACACCUCACAAAUAGGCUGGGGAUUUGGUUACAGAUUUAAACUAAUCACAAAACAAAGUCUCUUUAUUCAUAAUACCAACUCUCUUUGUUCAUGAUACCAACAGUUAGCCUAUCACACAAAUAUAUCAAUAUUUGAGCGAUAUAAAUUUUUAAGAAUUUAAAAAUCUAGCCAUUGAAGCUCCUAAAGUUUAGCUAAUGCAGGAUGAGUGGAUGACAUUCAAAUCAUGCAUAUAGAAUUGUUAAGAUUGGAAACUGAGAGAAAUAUACCCUUGCAUAUUUAUCAUAGAGAAUCCCACACCAAUUAGGAUUCUGACGUAGAAUAUGGAACACAUAGUCAUCAACACAAUUAAAGCCUUUUGAGGCCGCAGUAGCCCUUAUAAUCUUCUCCUCAGCUGCAUAUAAGACCAAACACAACAUUAUUGUACACAUAAAGAGCUUGAGCCAAAAGUUGCCUUAACACAUAGCAACACUGAAGUGCAAUACAUUCGUAGUAGGCAUAAUCCAUAAGCAGAAAAAUAUAAAUAUUUUUUGUUUUGAGUGGGGGAACAUUGACACUACAUUUUUGUUUACAGGAAUUAACCAGUGGAAAGGGAACAUUGACACUACAUCCAUGGGUUGGCAUUGUGAACUGUUCACAAGCUGAUAUCAACAAGAACGUUGACAUGAUAGCUGCACGCCGGAAGGAGCAGGAGUAUUUUGAAUCUAGCCCCGAGUAUGGACACUUGGCCCAUAAAAUGGGUGCAGAGUAUCUUGCAAAGCUUCUAUCCAAGGUUUCUCCACUUCCCUUGAGAUAUGUUCUUGCAGUGAUUUUACUAAAAUAAUGGAUUUAUGAUAUUUAUUCAAACACCCUUAAAUUUGAUAUGUAUGUUUUUUAUUGGUAUCAAUCAGCAUUUGGAGAUUGUUAUCAGGAAGCGAAUACAAGGCAUUAUUGCUCUAAUAAAUAAAACAAUUGACGAGCUUAAUGCGGAGUUGGAUCGCAUUGGCAGACCGAUUGGCGAGAAUGGAGGGGUAUUUAACAUGACCUUUAUGUAUUCAGGAUGCUUAGUUAUCGGAGAGAUUGGUUUUAACCUCGUUCUAACUUGAAUUUCUAACUGUAUUUACAGGCACAGCUAUACCUGAUUUUGGAAUUGUGUCGAGCAUUUGACCGUGUAUUUAAGGAGCACCUAGAUGGAGGGUAAUGCAUAAUUCUAUAAUAUGUUACUCACAAAAUUUAUUAGAAACACUUAUUUUCUUGAUAAGUCAUUUUGUGUAAAUGAUGUAUUUCGAGAAAAUAUAACUCAAAGUCCCUCACAGGUUCAAAUUAAUAAUGUUUCAUGCUCUUGGUGAAAUGCAACUGUGGUUUUCUAGUGUCCAGUGCGACACAGACCAUGGUAACAAGAGAAAGGGGCAGACUUUAACAUGUAUCAUAGCAGGCCCAUAGCUGUAUUUCAUUUUUUAGUCCCCAUUGGGAAAAGGAUCGUUUAAGAAAUGUGCUUAAGGAUUCAUUGAAUCUGAAGUCGGAAAAACUGAUUGAUGAUGGCAAAACCACAAUAAUGAUAGAUUUAGCAACUUUUGCACACGGGCUAACUUGCGUUGUAGUAUUGUUUUGGUUCUUAUUACCUUUUCCAAGUAAAGGAGGAGGAGGAGAGCAGAGAAGAAGGGCGGAGAUAAACUUACCUGAGGUGAUCCCCGAUGCUUUUCUUGCUGCCAUCGGAUAGUCGCGAAAGAUGAGGAGAGGCGCAGCGGCCAGAUAUCCAGCUAUAAUAUACCCCAAACAAAAGGUAAGAAUUGAUCGGAUUUGGUUCGGGUUAAAUACCCCUUUCC
rnacentral:lncRNA from 1 species